UUUUAUCUGUAUUCUAUCUGUUACAGAAAGCCUCGUCAGUAUUUUUCUGCUUGCUUUAUUGAGUAAAUAGCAUUCUUAACGCUUAGAGACAUAGCCUUUCACCAAAGUAUAGUUUCAGAAAAAUAUUAAAAUCAUUUAACUCUUCUGUCUUAUUUUUCUUGUGGAACUUUAAUUUAUAUUUUUGGUAACAGGAGGCAUAUAUUAUAUGUUUUAAGAGUUUAUAUUUAAUUCUUAGCCCCUUACAAAAUAAGUAUGUUUCUAUGGGAUAAAAGAUUUGAAGGAACAUUUCGAGUCUGUCUCAUGUAAUAAUUAAGAGGUUGGAAAUAUAUGAUAAAGAUGAUAAAGCAGUAAUCUUUUCAGAUUGCCAUAGUUAUUUAUGGAGGUGUGUGGUGUAAACUGGAGAAGUACUUAGUUUUGGAGACUGUGACUGUGGCUAAGUGCCUAAAUCUGUUUUCCUCAGUUUGUACUUCUCACAAAGAAAUGGAAUAGAAAUCAAUGAGGCACUAAGAGUAAAGUGGCUGAGAGAGAACCUAAAGCAGGACUUGGAGAAAGUGACAGAAAUGCUCAUACUGUGGUGAUUGAUUUAAUGAAAUACUGAAUUGUAGAAAAUAACAGAUUAGCAUGUCUUAUAAUAACAUUAACAUGUUUUAUAAUAGGGUAGUUGUAAUUAACUUUUAGUAUAUGUUAUGACAUUAUUGGCUAGUGCAUCACUGAACAGAAGAUACUUGUUUAUACAGUCAGGAGUCAAGUAACUUCCCCCAUUGACUUCUUUCUGGCUUAUUGCUAUUUACUAUUUUUAUCGAACACCUAUCUUAUUGGUAUAUAGCAUGUUUGUUGGUUUAUCAUAUUAAGCACAAGUAAUAUGAAUAAUCAUAAUAAUUUAGCAUGCCAGCUCAAAAAUCUGAUCAGAAAUGUUAAGAACAAAAUUUAUUGAUAAGUCUAAGCAGGAGCAAACAUAUACACCAAAGGAAUUCAAGUCAGUUUAGAUGCCAAAAUAGUGGAAACAUAUAUAGAUUUUUUUAAAAUUCUGUCUUUUUAACAACAGCUAUCUGAAAGUGGGAUAUACCUGCAUACAGGGUAAUAUGACUAAGAGGACGCUAACCUAACACCCUUUUUAUUCGUAUCAAUCCUGGAGUGGCAGGUCUGCCUUAAAAGGUCUGGAAAAUCACAAUAAUUAACAUUUAAGUAAUACUUUAAAUUCACAAAGCAUUUUCAUAUUUGUGACUGCAUUUGAUCUUAAGAACCCGGAGUGAUCAGGUAGGCAUUGUGGAUGAGGAUAUUAAAGUUUGGGGAGUUGUUGGCCUGUGCUCACUCACCUGAUAAGUAAUAAAGUUAAAGACUAAUCCUGUGUUCUUUCCACUUCACCACAUGUUCCGGAGCUUCUGUACUAAAAACUGGUUGCUUGUAAAUAAAGCCUCAAGAAAAUAUUUUAAAAUUAGGGUUAUCUGAUGUGAAAGGAUCUGAAUGAUGACUACAGUAUUUCCUCCACAUAUCUUCUGAGAGAGGAACAGGCUAUAUUGGUUUUAAGUGCCAAUUUUUAUUCAAAGAAGAGUUGCAUCAUAGUUACUAAAAUAUAUACUUUAGUGUCUGAGAAGGAUUAUGGAAUUUUCUUCAUAAGAAGAUAUUUGAAAAGAAAAUAUCCACUCAUUUAUCAAGGACUUAUUUGUAUAGUUUUACUUGGAGAUAGAUAAGUGACCUGCAAGUAUCACAUGUAAAGUGUAUACUCUUAUCAUACCAAUAACAUGUAUUGGACAUAAUUUAUAUAAUUAAAUGACAGCUAAAUCGUGUGCGUAAA